UAAAAGUUAGUGUAAGAAGCACUUAAGUUUUUGAUACUUAAAGAUUUAGUUUAAUUCUAAAGUUUUUAA
rnacentral:tRNA from 1 species